rnacentral:rRNA from 1 species
AUUGAACGCUGGCGGAAUGCUUUACACAUGCAAGUCGAACGGCAGCACGGGGCAACCUGGUGGCGAGUGGCGAACGGGUGAGUAAUACAUCGGAACGUGCCCAAUCGUGGGGAUAACGUAGCGAAGUUACGCUAAUACCGCAUACGAUCUACGGAUGAAAGCGGGGGAUCGCAAGACCUCGCGCGAGUGGAGCGGCCGAUGUCAGAUUAGGUAGUUGGUGGGGUAAAGGCUCACCAAGCCAACGAUCUGUAGCUGGUCUGAGAGGACGACCAGCCACACUGGAACUGAGACACGGUCCAGACUCCUACGGGAGGCAGCAGUGGGGAAUUUUGGACAAUGGGCGCAAGCCUGAUCCAGCCAUUCCGCGUGCAGGAUGAAAGGCCUUCGGUUGUAAACUGCUUUUGUUACGGAACGAAACGGACGAGCUCUAAUACAGUUUGCUAAUGACGGUACCGUAAGAAUAAGAC